UAAGCAUAUCAAUAAGCGGAGGAAAAGAAACUAACAAGGAUUCCCCUAGUAACGGCGAGUGAAGCGGGAAGAGCUCAAAUUUGAAAUCUGGCGGUCUCGCGGCCGUCCGAGUUGUAGUCUAGAGAGGCGUUAUCCGCGGCGGACCACGUACAAGUCCUUUGGGAUGCGGCGUCAUAGAGGGUGAGAAUCCCGUCCAUGACGUGGACUACCGUCGCUUUGCGUUGCGCCUUCGAAGAGUCGAGUUGUUUGGGAAUGCAGCUCAAAACGGGUGGUAAAUUCCAUCUAAAGCUAAAUACAGGCGAGAGACCGAUAGCGAACAAGUACCGUGAGGGAAAGAUGAAAAGAACUUUGGAAAGAGAGUUAAACAGUACGUGAAAUUGCUGAAAGGGAAACGCUUGAAGUCAGUCGCGUCCCCGGGGAUUCAGCUCGGCUUUUGUCGAGUGCACUUCCUCUGGGGACGGGCCAGCGUCGGUUUCGGGCGGGGAAGAAUGACGAGAGGAAUGUGGCACCUUCGGGUGUGUUAUAGCCUCCCGUCGGACGCCUCGCUCGGGACCGAGGACCGCUUUGAUAGGAUGCUGGCGUAAUGGCUUUAAACGACCCGUCUNGAAACACGGA
rnacentral:rRNA from 1 species